rnacentral:tRNA from 1 species
GCCCUCGUAUUCCAACUGGCAGAGAAAGCGGUCUCAAACACCGUACAGUGUGGGUUCGAAUCCCACCGGGGGCACCG